GAUGAACGCUGGCGGCGUGCCUAAUACAUGCAAGUCGAGCGAAUGGAUUAAGAGCUUGCUCUUAUGUAGUUAGCGGCGGACGGGUGAGUAACACGUGGGUAACCUGCCCAUAAGACUGGGAUAACUCCGGGAAACCGGGGCUAAUACCGGAUAAUAUUUUGAACUGCAUGGUUCAAAAUUGAAAGGCGGCUUCGGCUGUCACUUAUGGAUGGACCCGCGUCGCAUUAGCUAGUUGGUGAGGUAACGGCUAACCAAGGCAACGAUGCGUAGCCGACCUGGGAGGGUGAUCGGCCACACUGGGACUGAGACACGGCCCAGACUCCUACGGGAGGCAGCAGUAGGGAGUCUUCCGCAAUGGACGAAAGUCUGACGGAGCAACGCCGCGUGAGUGAUGAAGGCUUUCGGGUCGUAAAACUCUGUUGUUAGGGAAGAACAAGUGCUAGUUGAAUAAGCUGGCACCUUGACGGUACCUAACCAGAAAGCCACGGCUAACUACGUGCCAGCCGCCGCGGUAA
rnacentral:rRNA from 1 species